ensembl:lncRNA
CUGGCAGCGACACAGAGCCCAUGGAGGUGGAUCUACCUCCGGAGGAUGAUAUGAUGGAGGUGGAUCCACCUCUGCUGGGGCAGACCAGCCACCACGCCACCGUCAGGCUGAGAAGGAGAUCGCGCCCCAGGGAUCGCCGGCGCGCCAGGACUCGUCCACCUCCAUCCAAACGGCCGCCUCGACGCCGGUGCUGAUGCUCCCAUCCCCCAAGGCUCCUACGAGUCUGUCCUUCCCAUCCCCCUCCUUUGUCCUUCCCCAAGUCCUCUCAUCUCUUCUUCACCGAGUCUGAGGAAGAGGGCAGGGCGGGGACUGCCAUCCUCCGAGCUGCUGUGCCGGCGCAGCGCGACGAGUCCAGCAGAGGGACCUUAACUGCCGGGGGCCUCGAACAUCACAGAGACACAAGGAUCCCAGGCUUCCAUGAGACCGACCUUCCUGUUCCUCUCCCUCAUCCCUCCCCGGGGAGAGGAGGGGUCAGAGAAGUAACAGAGGCAGCUGUUCUUGUGGAAAAGCAGAUUUCAGUUUGGACAGAAAGAAGUGCUGAACUUCAGCAGGAAGAUGCAGCCCAGAUGCUUCACUUGGACUUUUUGUUCAAGAUUAGACAAUCAACAAUUUAAAAUAACAAUACAAAGUAAUGAAAAAGUCAAAACCACAGAACAAAAUAAACAUUUUUUCUUCUUCUUAAAAAAAAAAAAAAAAAAAAAACAGUUGUCUCUCUCUUUUUGCAACUUUGAAGUUUGCACGUAGGUUCCCGCAUCCCCUCCUUGCCUCCCGCACACAGAACAUACCCCACAGCAGGACACGCUGCCCUCACUGCCAGCCUGAGGAACAACCACCACACUGCACACACCACUGAGGCCAUCCCCUUGCCCUGCCUCAGCACCCUCUGCUACGUGGGGGGAUAUUUCACACACACGUCAUCAAGAACAUAGGAAAGAGCCCAUUUUGACUGUAGAAAAGGUAGCCCUACAGAAUAAUCAUGCUCACAAGUAUUUUACUUCCUCUCAACAGCUAACCAGUUAAGAAAAGAGCUGCCUGAACUGAGAACAAGAAUUAGCAUUUGUCAGGACAAAC